rnacentral:rRNA from 1 species
UACGUAGGGUGCAAGCGUUAAUCGGAAUUACUGGGCGUAAAGCGUGCGCAGGCGGCUUUGCAAGACAGAUGUGAAAUCCCCGGGCUUAACCUGGGAACUGCAUUUGUGACUGCAUGGCUAGAGUGCGGCAGAGGGGAUGGAAUUCCGCGUGUAGCAGUGAAAUGCGUGAGAUAUGCGGAGGAACACCGAUGGCGAAGGCAAUCCCUGGGCCUGCACUGACGCUCAUGCACGAAAGCGUGGG